GAGUUUGAUCCUGGCUCAGGAUGAACGCUGGCGGCGUGCUUAACACAUGCAAGUCGAACGGGAAUUACUUUAUUGAAACUUCGGUCGAUAUGAUUUAAUUCUAGUGGCGGACGGGUGAGUAACGCGUGGGUAACCUGCCUUAUACAGGGGGAUAACAGUCAGAAAUGACUGCUAAUACCGCAUAAGCGCACAGGACCGCAUGGUCCGGUGUGAAAAACCCCGGUGGUAUAAGAUGGACCCGCGUUGGAUUAGCUAGUUGGUGAGGUAACGGCCCACCAAGGCGACGAUCCAUAGCCGGCCUGAGAGGGUGAACGGCCACAUUGGGACUGAGACACGGCCCAGACUCCUACGGGAGGCAGCAGUGGGGAAUAUUGCACAAUGGGGGAAACCCUGAUGCAGCGACGCCGCGUGAAGGAAGAAGUAUCUCGGUAUGUAAACUUCUAUCAGCAGGGAAGAAAAUGACGGUACCUGACUAAGAAGCCCCGGCUAACUACGUGCCAGCCGCCGCGGUAAUUC
rnacentral:rRNA from 1 species